AAGAAGAAUCACUGCAGCAGAAAGAG
rnacentral:piRNA from 1 species